GCCAACAGCAACUGCAGCUCUGGCCCAAGCCAGGUGUGGGCUGACCUAGCCAGGGAGCGGGGAAGUGAAAGGAAUGGGUCCCUUCCCACUCAGAGGGCGGAGCCCCCACUUCUGGUGAGAGAAAGCUGAGCAGAAUGGAUCUAAUCUGAUUCCUCCACCCAGAAGCCCUUAAAAUGCAGCUUUGUUUUAAGCCUUCUUGAAGAUUUGGGCUAGAUCUAGAAAAGAACCUCACCACGGAGGAUGUGCAAAGUACAACACGUGACCCCGGAGACGGAAGCUCUUCUCUACCUCCGUAAAGAUGAUCUCUGAUGAACAGACAUGAUCAUGCCUGGAGAACAGGGAUGGACAGUCCCGCUUCUGAAAGACCCUGUCUGGCUGAUGAUUCAUGGUGCGCCGGGCAGACCCCAGGCCAAGAGACCCCACCCACAGUACCUGAGUGCUCAGCUGGGAACCAGACCAGACCUCAAAACAGGUUUGCAGAAUUAAGAUGAGGAGCUGAGCUCAACACAGCCUCCGCAGCUCCCCAGGGCGGGCCUGAGCCGAGGGAGAGCCCAUGGCCAUCAGGGUGCUGGAAUGCAUGUCACACUGCAUUACGUGCAUUACGAUCCACGCUGCAAUGACAGCCCAGAGCGUGGAGAACCCAGAGAGGGUGGGGAGAUGGAAUCCCGGCGAGCCAGCGCUGGCAGGGACCACGGGGAGCAGCUGGUCCAGCCGCCGGUUUUCCAAGAGAGAAGACUAAGAAACCAGCCCCCCAGCAUUGACCUGGAUGCCUGCCACAGCCUCCUCCCUGGUCUCCGGCCUCCCACCUCUGCUCCUCGGUCUCCUCUACCCAGCCAGUAACUGCAGAGAGCACUAAAGCACAGUCCUGGCAUCUCACCCCCUUAACCCUGGCCACGGCUUCCCAGUGCCUCCAAGAUAAAGCACCAACACCUGAGGACAGCAGCUUGUUUUGAGAGUCCCCUCCAUUGAAACACGCACAUCUAAUUUGUCCUUCAGUUCGCUGGACUCCACGCUGAACGUGCCAUGCUCCAUUGCCCCGUGAGUAACUCCAUGCUCUUGCCGGUUUCACACGGCCUCUCAGAGCUGGAGCCUUUGUUCAGGAGCCCUGGGCAGCUUUCAGGAAGCUCUUGGGCUCAUCAGCUUCCUCUGGCUGAAGCCGCCCCAGUGGAAUCAUGGGGAUUUCUUACUUUGAAGGUGGGGCCACCCGCAGACUGUAACCGGCUGGUUCAAGAUCAAGGACUUCCCCAGGCCACCUGCCUCAGAGGCAAGAAAGGCUCAGCUGAGUCCCAGACACUCCUCGCUGUGGCCCCUCCUUCCUCCCUGCUGGGCAGGCCCCCCUCAAUUCUGUUUGCCAGCAGGGCCUAGUAACACUGAAAGACGAAAAGGGAAAUAAAAUAAACACAAUUAAUAGGCUAAAGGUUACUGAAUAAAGUGGCAGCAGUAAAUAAA
rnacentral:lncRNA from 1 species